rnacentral:rRNA from 1 species
AGAGUUUGAUCCUGGCUCAGAAUGAACGUUGGCGGCGUGGAUUAGGCAUGCAAGUCGUACGCACAGCAAUGUGAGUGGCGCAAGGGUGAGUAAUGCGAAGGUAACCAACCCUGGAGUUGGGCAUAGCCGCGGGAAACUGCGGGUAAUUCCCAGCGAUGUCGCGAGAUGGCAUCAUCUUGCGACCAAAGGUGUGAUUCCGCUCUAGGACGGGCCUUCGUGGUAUUAGGUAGUUGGUGAGGUAACGGCUCACCAAGCCGACGAUGCCUACCGGGUGUGAGAGCAUGACCCGGCACACUGGAACUGAGACACUGUCCAGACACCUACGGGUGGCUGCAGUCGAGAAUCUUCGGCAAUGGGCGAAAGCCUGACCGAGCGACGCCGCGUGAGGGAAGAAGGCCUUCGGGUUGUAAACCUCUUUCGUAGAGGAGGAAGGGGCCGUGCAGAGCGGUCUUUGACCUAUUCUAGGAAGAAGCUUGGGCUAAGUUCGUGCCAGCAGCCGCGGUAAGACGAACCAAGCGAACGUUAUUCGGAAUUACUGGGCUUAAAGCGCGUGUAGGCGGAUGACCACGUCAGUCGUUGAAAAU